GUACCAUGGACGAACCCUACCGAAAUCACCUUCUUCGUCCUUCCCCAUCGAAAACAACUCACGCUGCCUCCCGCCUGCACCUCCACCGCGCGCCGCCGCGAGGGCCUCCCGCCUCCACCGCGUGCCGUCGUGCGAGGCCCCCACCUCCACCGCGUGCCGCCGAGAGGGCCCCCCACCUCCGCCGCGUGCCGCCGGGAGGGCCCCUCACCUCCGCCGCGCGCCGCCGGGAGGAUCCCCACCUCCACCGCGGCUCCCCUGCUACAACUUCCCGCGACCGCGCGCACCCCAAUCCAAACACAUCGCUUCGCCUCUCCGGCAGCAGCAGUAGCAGAGGAUGGCCAAGGAAGGAGUGGGGGGGGGGGGGGGGGCGACUGGAACGGCCUGCUCAAGUGGAGCCUCGCCCACGGCGGCGACGGCACCACCCCUUCGCGCGUGCUCAGGUCCGUCCAGAUACCCCCCAAACCCUCACGCUCCCCGAUUCAGAUUUUAAGGAAGGCUAGAGCUGCUGCUGUAUCAGUCAACUGGGAUUCAGAUUUUACGGCUAGAGUUACCAGUGGGUUCUAGACUUCUGUGUGUAUCAAUCAGUCGGGGUUCAGAUUUCAGGGCUAACGUUACGUCUUAGUUCUAGUGUGUAUCAAUCAGCCGAGAUGUUUUGGUUAACGGUGUGGUUCCCGACUGCCUCCUCAUGGUGUGCUGUUUUGUAGUAGUAUCAUAGUACUGUCAUACCUGCUACCAGAGUCAUGAUACUAUAGUUCUCAGCUAUAUUGUUUCGUGAAUUGUCGUCCUACUUCCUGUUAAAAUGCUGUUCUUCUAUUUGGAUUGGUGCAGUUCAGUGAGUCACAUUUUAGUACUAACUAUAAUUAGUGAAACGAAGCUGUAGUAGCCGUAACACACUGAGUCAUUAAUGUCUCUUUCAGUUCAAAAGAGAAACAGAAAAUGUGUUUUGCUGUGAAGUUCAUUUUUAUUUAUUUAAGGGAUACGUUUAAGUUGUAUGGCCUGAGGAGUUUAGGCACUGCAUAUUUUUUUGGCUCAACAUGCUGGAGUACUAGAUCAUCUAGUUGAGCUAGUACUAGACUACUAGUGUACAUCUAUUUACUAAUAUACAUGGAGUUCAGUAGCUCACUAAAAACACACAACCAAGUGAGGGUGAAAAACAUGCACAUUUCAAGUUCAUUUUGUUUGCCUGUGGAGUUCACUUCAUCAGUCGCAGGAUUUCACCAUUUUUGAUUGGCAAAAAGUAGAAAUUUAUUCGUGAGGAAGAAAAGUUCACAUUUUUCUAUCAUGAAGUUCACUACAUCAUGCUUAGGGAUCGCUCAUGUUAGUUCACUUCUGUUUUCCGAGGAGGGCUAUAUCGAUAAAAGUUCACUUCGUGCAGAUAGUAAGUUCAGUUUUCUUGGCCCAAAAUAAAUUCACUUGUUCCUGCAGUAGUUAGCUUAAUUUGUUGGCAGGAAGCACUAUGUUUCUAGAAUAACUUCCACAAGUAUUUAUCUGUCUGUGUCGACAUUCCUCUAAUUUGCAAUAAUUUAUUCUUUCACUUGCUAAAGAAGUUCAUUCUUUGUUCUAGACAGGUUCAGUACAUGAAAAUGGACCUGCUCAUAUUCCUGAGUGCAGCAUCGAGCGGUUCUCUUGGUUAUUUAUAGCAGUCGGAUUAGGACCAAAAAGGAGUUCAGUUCAUUUUUUAGGCAGUAAUUCAUUCAGUUUUGACAGUAUGCUUAUAACUUCAUGGAAGUUCAAUUCUAUUGCUGGCAAAGAUCAAUUCAUACUGUGUGUUUUCUGUAAUAAAUUUGUUUUAUGAUUUUCGUAUAUAUUAUGUGUGCUGGAUCUCAUAUUUUUGCAGGGUUCAUUCAAUUUCCUGGAAAUUCAACUUUGCAUGUCGAGAAAAGGCCCAAUACUAAAUGCAUGCUGCCAAAAUGGAGGCGCUCAAAGCCGCUUCUUGUUUAUGAAAAUCAUAAUAAUAUUGGUGGGUCAACCAUUUGGGAUAUCGAUGUGGAGAAUUUCAGUGUUACUGUUGGCGGACGUAAUCUUAUUUAGGAUCAAACUCGGCGCUUCGCUUUGGAAGACACUAUGGUGAGUUACAACUUAGAUUACUACAUAUGUCGACCAAGAUGUCCCACCUGCCAAUAGAAAAUAAAGCUUUUGUUCUUCUGGGUGCUUGUUUCAUCUAUUAGAAGAAGUUCAGCUUGUUGGUUUCUGUUUUUCAUGGAAAAAAUGAAUUAAGCAUGGGUAAAAUAUGGUACAUUUAUGUGUUGAUGAGUGUCUGUCUACAAAAAGUAGAAGUUCGAGACCACCGGGCUAACCUUCCAGGUUGGUUGUGGAAUCCAACGAGCAUGGUCACCGCCCCUCCAUCCGGAUCUCCAGCCGCACUGAACCCCACCGGCGAGCUCCAGCAAGUCAAUUCCGAGAUAUGCAGCUACACCGGGGGUUCACUCGCGUAUCCUCGAUAGUCCAGCGGGCUUCCCGAUGGAGUCCAGCACGCGAACGCACCCCGCGGCACUCUAGUGUGUGUUGCUGGGAAGUCAACAUGUGCCUCACCCGGCAUUCAAGUGCGCUCCAACAGGGAGUACACCUUCCGCGGCAGAAGUCACCCUGAAACAUGGCAUUAUUACAGUAUAAGUAAUUGAAGUGAGCUCCUAGUUAUAUGUUGUUAUUUUCUUCUAGCUCUGCUUCUAGCAGGUGCCUUCCUGUAGCCCUUCAGGAUCAUCCCUGCUGGAACCUGACUGCAAGGAAGUUUGUCUCUUUGCUCCUGGCAGUUCAGAUUUAUAUAAUCAGGGAGUGCAGUCCGUCCGCGUUUACAUUCAAGGUUUGCUUUGAUCUUUCUGUCACUUCCUCUGAAAUAAUACAAGUGCACACUGAAUGGUCUGAACUUGUGUAAAUUUUCACAUGAAGAUUGUUUGCUAGCUUUGUAUUUGAGCAAAUGUUAGACAUUGCAGCAUAUACAAAUAAUUUCACCUAGUUCACAUAUGAAGUUUACUCAUUUUUGUUUGAAAAUUUAUUGUUUCAUAGACUCUGAAGUCCGCUUUUAUUUAAAAUGCAAGUUCGCUUGUCCAACCUAAGUAUGGUCUAGUAUAGUUCACAUUAUUCAGAAAAGGAAGUUCGUAUUUUAUUAUCAGGAAGUUUACUCUGUCUACCUUUUUAGUUAAAAGCACAAACAGGAAAGAAAUAAAAAGUAUAGCUCACCUCCAUAUCUAUAUUUUUGGGGUUUAUUCUUUCUUUCUUGGAAGUGCAUUAUUUGCAUUUGGGAAGUGCAGAUGGAUGAAUUUGAUAUUUUGAUAUUUCUGUUCAAUAUUCGUGAAAAUUUAUCUUCAUUUCUGGAAGUUCACACUUCAUUCCGUAGCCAAUCAGUGUAGGUCUUCUUGGGGCUGACCGAGCACCUGGCCGCAGCAUUGGGGUGAUUCAUUUCUGAGCAAAGUUGAAAAACGUAGAUGGGUAUACUAUGUAGUGAUAUGGGUAUACUAUGUAACAUGGCUGGUAGUUUGUUCUUUCCUAUUGCAGCGUCUUCAUACUCGUGCUCGGGUUAAUAUAUGUAAGUUUUGUUCAUUUUUCAGUUUCGUGGGUCUAAUCCUGCUGUGUUACCCCUUGUUUAUCGCAGUUCAUUUUAUGUAAGUUGAUAGUUCAGUUUUGUAACAGUUCACCCUUUUGUCCAGGAGUUCACUCAACUUGCCCAGUUGUGUGGCACUGAUGGAGGGCUCUAGUGAGGCCGCUCCGGCUCAUACCGGCGGCUCCUACUAGUACCGAACUUUCUAUUUUUCAGUGGUGAAACGUUGCUCGUUAUAUUGAGUCGCUGCUGCUGGUUCAGUUUAGUCUGGGCUGUUCAUGCACCAAAGGCUGCAGCUGCGCCCAACAAAGACAUUGAACGGGAGAUGGAGCGUGAUAGCCACCGUCAAAAGUAAUUACAAGCUGGCAGAUAUGUAGAAUAUUGUUGAUGUAUAUAUUUAGGCUGAGUAGUUCAUUUGAUCUAUGCGCUCAUGUAUAUAAAAGUAGUGUGACAUGGGGAAAUCCAAGUUUACUUGUUCACAUAAAAUAGUUCACGUCUAUUUUUCAGCAGUUCAUUUCGUCCAUUGUGUGAGAUCACUUAAAAAGAAC